rnacentral:lncRNA from 1 species
CCUUAAUGGUGCCUCUAUAAUGGGUUUCAAGUUUGAUCUGAUCAAAUUCGAUUCUAUGGCUUCACUAGAUUGUAUCAGUUCAUCUACUUGUCGAACUUCAUAAGUUCCAUAUUAAAGGCAACAGUACUUUCACCAAGGUACUUCUUUUCUAAAAAGAAUGUCGAACAACACUUAUUCUUUAGCAUGGUAGAAGUUAUAUCCUCUAGACUCUUUAGUUA